AACGCGAAGAACCUUACCCAGGUUUGAAAUACAGUGGACCGCACCAGAAAUGGCGCUUCCCGCAAGGGCUACUGUGUAGGUGCUGCAUGGCUGUCGUCAGCUCGUGCCGUGAGGUGUUGGGUUAAGUCCCGCAACGAGCGCAACCCUUAUCAUUAGUUGCCAACACGAAAGGUGGGGACUCUAAUGAGACUGCCUGGGUUAACCAGGAGGAAGGUGAGGAUGACGUCAAGUCCGCAUGGCCUUUAUGUCUGGGGCUACACACGUGCUACAAUGGUCGGUACAGAAGGCAGCUAAGCCGCAAGGUAGAGCAAAUCCGUAAAGCCGAUCUCAGUUCAGAUUGUGGUCUGCAACUCGACCACAUGAAGUUGGAAUUGCUAGUAAUGACGUGUCAGCAACAACGUCGUGAAUACGUUCCCGGGCCUUGUA
rnacentral:rRNA from 1 species